AUCUUUAAUAAUACAUUUCUUUAUGCAUUUCUGCUCUAUUCAUGCAGGAUGCCCAAUUAAUACAGGCAAACACUGAACACAAACUGCUUAUGUUGUACCAGCAAUUCACUGGUGCAUCUGCACCACAACAACAGCAACAAAAAGGCAGAAUAUAUAUAGACAAACGGGGAAGAGACACUUUGUGGAAGAAAAAACAUGAAAAUAAAGUCCUUGGGUAGUCAGAAGUGCACUAGCAGAAGUCAUACCAUGGCAUGGAAACUCAACAGAAAACUUUCCUCCUAAAGUGCCCUAACUGCCUACAGACAACAAUGCCUUAAAAAAGUAAAGCAAUUCAUCAGUGCUGAUUCUUAGCCAAGGUCAGUGGACUUGAUGGAGCUACAAGGUCUUUUCAAAUACUUAGUGAAAAUCAGUUGCUACUGUACAAGGACUCCCAGCAAAUUGUAAAUUUGCUUCCAAUAAUAUUUCUGAAGAUGAAGGGUUCAGAAGCUUGGCCUAUACUUCCCAUAAGAGAAAACUUGCAAAAGUAUUACCUUUGCAAAAAAUAGUGCAAGAAGAUACAUUAGAGGAAUAACUCACAGAAAAAAGUAUAAACAUCAUGGAAUGCUUGCCAAGGUGGUGAAGAAUCCUGGAAAACAUGCUGAGAUUCAUGGAAAAUAAGAAAGCAACUGGUGACAGCCAACACAGCUUUACUAAGGGCAAAUUGUGCCUGACAAAUGUGACCUCCUAUGAAGGGGUCACAGCACAGGUAGAUAAAGGAAGAGCAACUGGACUUGUGCAAAGCACUUGACAGUGUCCUGCAGGACAUCCUUGUCUCUUAACUGGAGAAACAUCGAUUUCACUGAUGACCACCUCGUAUAAAGAAUUAGCUGGAUGGUUGCAA